UUGCUAAUGGUGACGAAUAACGGUAUGCAGGGCAGAUUUUGGGAAGGUGGGGCUUCACCAGUGCGCUUUAUUUAGCGUGAUUUGGGGGGAAACGCGCGGAUGAUCGCGUUCCUCAUUAGCGCGCGGCUCUGCGUUCAUCAGACUACACUUUCUCAGUGACAGGAGACACGAGAGGAUUUCCCACACCGGACACCAUGGAUGAGGACUUUGAACGCCGCAGGGAGCUCCGGAGACAAAAACGAGAAGAGAUGCAAAAAGAAGUGGAAAAGUCGAGCCUCCUAAAUCUUGAUGAUGAAGAUGAAGAGGCAGCUCGAGAGAGAAGGAGGCGAGCCCGACAGGAAAGGCUACGCAACAUGGAGAACGAGGAGAUGAGCAACACUGCCAGAGAAGUUAACAGCACUGACAGUGUAACAGACACAAGAUCGUCAGCACUGAUAACCACUAGCGAAGAUGACCAGGCUCUUCUGGAGCGGCUGGCCAAGCGUGAGGAGCGCAGACAGAGGAGGAUGAGGGAAGCUCUGGAGAGACAAAAGGAGUGUGACCCCACCAUCACUGAUGGGGAAGCCACUGUCACUAUCACCACCACCAUCAGUGAGGACAGGCCAAGCCGUAGGAGCCGUCUCAGGGAUGCAGAAGAGGAAACAACCAAAAAUGAGGUUCUGUCCUCAGAGACCAACUCCUGGACAGAGAAGGAAGAAAAGAUCCUGGACCAGAAUGUUGCUGAGUCAAAGGUGGAGGUUCAGGAGACAGUCCCUGUAAAGGAGGAACCUGCGGCAGAACCAGCAUCAGAGGAACCAAAAGACACUGUGGAGAAGAAAGAGGAAGAGGAGGAGAGGCCCUGGAGAUCCUACCACAGAGAACAGGAAAAGAAUGAAGAUCAAUCUGUCAGUACAAACAAUGUGGCUGAGGAGAAACCAGACACAGGGUUAGACAGUACAGAUUUAGAAAAGAAAGAGAUUGAAGAUGAAAGUUUCUUAUCAAAGGAAGAGAUUCAGGUCAAGCCUGAACAAGAAGAAGAAAAAGUCGAGGAACCGGAAAUAUCUAAGACGGAGGAGGAAGAAAAGCCUGUGGAGGAGGAAAAACCGUUAGAGGCUCCAUCAGAAACACCUUCUGCUCCAGAGUCACAGGUUCAGGAUGAACCUUCUCUGGAGAACGAGGAUACAAAUGAAACUCUUGAGCCUUCAGUGGAGAAGACAGAAGUGGAGGAACCCCAGAAAGACACAUUUGAGCCUCCAGAAGAAAAGAAAGAGGUGGAGAAGAAGGUGGUGGAGAAAGUAAGUCAAGAAGAAGAGAAACCACAAAUACAAGAGAGGCCAAAGAGGGAAAUAGAGGUGAAGGUUGAAAUUCCAAAGCAAAAAGCUGAGGAGAAGCCUCCUGUGAAGGUUAAGGUAGAGGAGAAACAAGUGCCACCAAAGAAGAUUGAAGAGAAACAACCAGGUUUGAAGAAGGAGGUUGAAGACAAACCAAAAUGGAAGAAGGAGGCAGAAGAAAAAUCCAAAGCAAAAAUUGAGGACAAAGUUAAACCAAAGGAGGUUGUGGAGGAAAAACCCAAACCGUUCUUUUUACGUGACAAAAAUGAAUCAGUAAGGGAGAAGAAUGAGGAGGAAGCCUCUAAGUUCAAGAAACCAGAGAAGCCAUUUGGCCGUGCAGGGCUGCGCUCUCCCGAGGUUGAGAAGCCAGACCCUGUGGCAAAGCAGGAGGCCGAGAAGAAGCUGGUGGAAUUGAAGCGCCGGAGGAACGAGACGGACGGCGAGGAGUUUGAGAAGAUGAAGCAGAAACAGCAGACGGCUGAGGCUGAGCUGGAGGAACUGAAAAAGAAGAGAGAGGAGAGGAGGAAGAUUCUGGAGGAAGAGGAGAAGCAGAAAAAACAGAAGGAGGCAGAAAAGAAGGCCAAGGAUGAGCAAGAGAGGCAGAAGAUGAAGGAGGAGAUCGAGCGCAGGAGGGCAGAGGCAGCUGAAAAGAAACGGCAGAAAGAGGAAUCUGGUGAAGACGGCAAGGCACCAUUCAAAUGUCUGUCUCCAAAAGGAGCCUCAGCAAUGAUUGGCGCGAAAGCAGAAUUUCUGAGCAAGUCAGCCCAAAAAACACCGGUGAAGGUGCCCCACACACCAAUGGUGUGUAAGAUAGGUAACAGGCUGGAGCAGUACACCUCAGCUGUCCAGACUAAAGACGCAAAGUCACCUAAGUCUCCUAAGGACCUUCCUGUGGCAGAAGGAAUGCGCAGCAUCAAGAGCAUGUGGGAAAAGGGUAACGUGCAGAACCCUGCAGCUCCCGGACCUGCCCCUGCCGGUCCUGCCUCUGUCACCAAGGAAACAGCUGGAUUGAACACAGGAGUGGCAGGUCGCAUCAGCAGCUGGAAGACCAAAACUCCAGAAACGAAGACUCCUGAACCCAAGCCAGCAGAAACAAAGACCCCCGAAACGAAGGGCGUGAAACCUGCUGAGACCAAGACACCGGAAGCUAAGAGCGUGAAACCUGCUGAGACCAAGACGAUCGAGACCAAGCCACCGGAAACUAAGAGCGUGAAACCUGCUGAGACGAAGACGAUCGAGACCAAGCCACCGGAAACAAAGGGCGUGAAACCAGCAGAGACGAAGAAGACAGAGUCAAAGACCCCUGAUCUGAAGAGCCUGAAACCCAGUGAGACAAAGCCGACUGAGAAAAAGGCCCCAGAGAUGAAGACUCCAGCGCUAGGAAAACCUGCAGGAGGCAAACCUGAACCAAAGCCCAGUGAUGUGUCUAAAACCCGUGGCCUGUGGGAAACCAAGGGCUCCACCCCCUCUAAGCAUUGACACAAAGCCUGGAGGAAAGGCUAAUACCGUGUUUGGACUUAAGACAACGCCGUUUACAAAUGGUACAAGGAAGUAAACACCGAAGCCAACAACGAGUUUUCGAAAGACAAGUCAAGAUCGCUGCAUACUGCAUACUUUUUAUACUUUAAUGUCCUCCAGUUGUGUAUAAAAUCCAAUUAUAUAACGCUUGGGAAUAAUUACAAAAAGUCAUAUCAUAACAAAAGCAUAAUCGCCUGUAUCUGAGAUCCUGGUCAUUUAAUGUGUCUUGUAUCUGGAUUUUAUUCUGUUUUUAUCUUAAUCACGUGUAUUUACACUCGACAGUGCCAGAAAUCUGAGAAAGCUGCAUUGUAAGGAAAUCAGUGUAACAUCUGAGCACCAGGUGCUUCCAAAGUCUUCACCGUCCCAGUGUUCUUCCAAAAGGGUCUUAAAUGGUUAUUUUGAAAAGUUUGAUGAAAAGUGAAACCCUUUUAGAGCCUGCAGACGCUCCAUACUGACAUAAUGAAAAGGGCAAGUUAUACAGGAAAGCUUUAUAACGAAAUAAUGGGAGGGGUUUGGGGUUUUCUGUGGCUUGUAGAGUCACAUGGAUAUGUGAGGCAGUCUGGGGAAAACUCAUGAAUUACACCAACUUUUAUUAUUUUAAAGAACAACAAAUUGAUCCAUUUGUAGUUAUUCAGUAUUUAGUGUAGUGGAUUGUCUGUAAGCAACUUAACAAUCAUUCCCUCAUCACCCUCAACUCUCAUAUCUCUCUUCCUCUCUCUCUCUCUCUCUCUCUCUCUCUCUCUCUCUCACCUGACUGUUACAAAGCACUGCCACUGGAGACUCCUUCCAUAAAUGUUCAAUAAACAUUUGUUGAAAAUUGAGCCCAAAAACAUACAACCUGUGAGGUUUUGACUAAAAUAGGUUUUUAAUGCGGAAUUGAAAUUAUAUUGCAAAGCAAUAAUCUUGAAAGUUUGCGGUAAAAGGAGUCAGUUUGCCUAAAGAUGUCUAAAACCUUUGGGUCAUUUCAUCACACAGUAAAAGUCAUGCUUUAAUCAAAGCCACUGGAUAAUAGUCUAAUUAUCUACAGUAAUAAAUCUCACCAGGUGAAGGGUUUUCCCAAGCAGCCACACUUCUUCUUUUCUCAGAUUUUGUUUGCAGUCGUAAUUGGAUUUGAACGUUAUUAAAUAUGUCUUCUGCCCUUUUCUGCUUGUGCCUCCAUGUGAACAAUCGCCCUCCUUUUAUUAUUCUGUGUUUUAUUUUAUUUUAGUAAAUUCAGCUGAAAAAAUAAGCGUCCAUGCUCAUCAUGAAUCAUGAGUCAAUAGAGCAUUUGUUACAGAACAUCAUGAUUGUUGUACCUGCAUAGUGAAGAGAGUGAUGUCCAGUUUCAAUUUUUUUCCUAAUUCACUGCAUGGCAAAGCACAGCUAUAAUACCAGCUUAUGUGUAAGUGUAGCAUUCGGAGUAUUUAAUACGAUGCUGCCGUACUAGCCACUUUAAAGGGUUGAACGAUUCCUUUUAUUUUUUUCUUCCACAGAAUAGUUUGUUAUCAGGAUGCUACAAUGUCUUCAUGGUCAUCAUGCUUUAUCAGCUCACGUCACAUAUAUAAACCACCUCUGAGUAGCGAAAUAUAGCAAACAGGCUUCACAAACACUGCAGAUUACAAUCUCUGCCUUAUUCAAUCCGAUUCCUAAUAUAGAAACGAGUGUCCUUGAGUGUCCUGGCUGUAUCGUGUACCAAAGUGUAACGAAUAAAUUCAAUUAAUAAUAUUCUCA